CACCCCGCGCUCGCCUGCGCCCGUCCCCGCACCCGCCGCGGCCAGGCGCCUGCGACCGCGGAGGACGCGGCUGUCGCGGGCGUGCGGGCGGCGGAAGGAGUGGACAGAGGGGCGCGCUGGCCCGAGGGCCGCUCGGCGGUGGCAGGGCGAGGGACACUGCCCAGCAGACGCGGGUCGCGUGGGCAGCAGCGGCUUUUUGGCGGCGCAGUGCCCACGCAGGCUGGCUGGGGCCGGCCUAGGAGAGUUGGUGUCUUGGGGGGGAUUUUCCCGGUCACUGCGUGGCCGCCCAGACGCCCGCAGUAGCCAGGGUCGGGCUGGGGGGAGCCAGGAGCCUGCGUCUCCCGUGGGGGCGGCAGGGACCGGCUGCCCCGACCACCCGGCCGCCCCCGCCCAGGGCGCAUGGUGGCAGGGCCGGGAGAGCCGCGGGCGCCUGGACCGGGUGUGGGAGCGCUGGCCGGCCGGCUGCUCCCGUCCCGGGCCCCAGCAGCGCCCUCCCCCGCCGUGCAGGUGCUGCGAGCGCCCGGUCAGGGUGCAGCGGCCUCCUCGGACAAGAUGGACCCAGAGCGGGCGCUGAGUGUACGGGCAGCUUCGGCUGGGGGUGUGCGUGCGCUGUGUGCCGGGGCCAGGGGAGGCCGUCCCCGCGUGUGGUGACCGCUGUCUCCCAGGACGUCCCCGCGUGUGGUGACCGCUGUCUCCCAGGACGUCCCCGCGUGUGGUGACCGCUGUCUCUCAGGACGUCCCCGCGUGUGGUGACCGCUGUCUCUCAGGACGUCCAUGCGUGUGGUGACCGCUGUCUCACAGAGAACAUCCCCACGUGUGGUGACCGCUGUCUCAGGACACCCCGUGUGUGGUGACCGCUGUCUCUCAGGACGUCCAUGCGUGUGGUGACUGCUGUCUCGGGACAUCCCCGCGUGUGGUGACCGCUGUCUCCCAGGACGUCCCCGCGUGUGGUGACCGCUGUCUCAGGACACCCCACGUGUGGUGACCGCUCUCUCUCAGGACGUCCCCGUGUGUGGUGACUGCUCUCUCUCAGGACGUCCCCGCGUGUGGUGACCGCUGUCUCUCAGGACGUCCCCGCGUGUGGUGACCGCUGUCUCCCAGGACGUCCCCGCGUGUGGUGACCGCUGUCUCUCAGGACGUCCCCACGUGUGGUGACCGCUGUCUCACAGAGGACGUCCCCGCGUGUGGUGACCGCUGUCUCCCAGGACGUCCCCGUGUGUGGUGACCACUGUCUCAGGACGUCGCCGUGUGUGGUGACCGCUGUCUCCCAGGACGUCCCCGCGUGUGGUGACCGCUGUCUCAGGACGUCCCCGCGUGUGGUGACCGCUGUCUCCCAGGACGUCCCCAGCGUGUGGUGACCGCUGUCUCCCAGGACGUCCCCGCGUGUGGUGACCGCUGUCUCCCAGGACGUCCCCGCGUGUGGUGACCGCUGUCUCCCAGGACGUCCCCGCGUGUGGUGACCGCUGUCUCCCAGGACGUCCCCGCGUGUGGUGACCGCUGUCUCCCAGGACGUCCCCGCGUGUGGUGACCGCUGUCUCCCAGGACGUCCCCGCGUGUGGUGACCGCUGUCUCUCAGGACGUCCCCGCGUGUGGUGACCGCUGUCUCCCAGGACGUCCCCGCGUGUGGUGACCGCUGUCUCACAGGACGUCCCCAUGUGUGGUGACUGCUGUCUCACAGGACGUCCCCGUGUGUGGUGACUGCUGUCUCACAGAGGCCAUCCCCGCGUGUGGUGACCGCUGUCUCAGGACGUCCCCGUGUGUGGUGACCGCUGUCUCGGGACGUCCCCAUGUGUGGUCACUGCUGUCUCGGGACGUCCCCAUGUGUGGUCACUGCUGUCUCGGGACGUCCCCAUGUGUGGUCACUGCUGUCUCGGGACGUCCCCAUGUGUGGUCACCGCUGUCUCAGGACACCCCAUGUGUGGUCACUGCUGUCUCGGGACGUCCCCGUGUGUGGUCACUGCUGUCUCAGGACACCCUAUGUGUGGUCACUGCUGUCUCGGGACGUUCCCAUGUGUGGUCACUGCUGUCUCAGGACACCCCGUGUGUGGUCACUGCUGUCUCGGGACGUCCCCGGGUGUGGUGACCGCUGUCUCAGGACACCCCGCGUGUGGUCACUGCUGUCUCAGACACCCUGUGUGUGGUCACUGCUGUCUCAGGACACCCCGCGUGUGGUGACCGCUGUCUCAGGACACCCCGUGUGUGGUCACUGCUUUCUCAGGACCUCCCCGUGUUUGGUGACCGCUGUCUCAGGACACCCCCGUGUGUGGUCACUUCUGUCUCAGGACACCCUGUGUGUGGUCACCGCUGUCUCAGGACGUCCCUGCAUGAGGUCACUGCUGUCUCGGGACCUCCCCAUGUGUGGUGACCGCUGUCUCAGGACGUCCCCACGUGUGGUCACUGCUGUCUCGGGAUGUCCCCGCGUGUGGUGACCGCUGUCUCUCAGAUAUCCCCGGGUGUGGUGACCGCUGUCUCAGGGGUUGGUGUGAGCCCUGUUGUGAAAGUGCACUGGGUUCUGGCUUGCACAGGGCUGGAGAGGGAGGAGGAGCCGCCUUCGUCUGGUGCGCAUGUUCUGGACUGUGCAUGGGAACCUGUGGUCCUGUCCACUGGAGCUCCUGGCUAGAGUGAGCUGUGCUGGCUGCGUGUUUGCAUUUCGUUCUGCCGCACGGCGGGGGAACGAGCCGCUCGUUAGAACUGGAGGUGUCGUUGGACCACAGCAGAGCGUCGGGCACACAGAUGACCUGGCUUAAAGCCGAGCUGCCCAAAACACAACUGUUGGCACAGCCGGCUCCGCCAGAGCCUCCCACUGGGCGUCCCUCUGCUGCGUCCGGCCAAGCCCCAGCACCCAGGUGUGGGCUCCCGUCAGGAGGCCUGGCCCUGCACCGCCACCUCCGGGGUGUCACGGGCAGGAGUCCAGCGUCCUUUCUGGUGAGAAGUCCGCUCGUUUCCUUCCUCGCUUCUCCCUGAGAGAGCUCCCAUCCACGGUCCACUCCCAGAAGCCAGCCACAAACUCCGCCCCGCUCUGCCACCCGCUGCUGCUGCCUCCCAGGGUCUGGAGUCGGACCCAGAGCUGGGAAUGGGACCCAAGCACUGUGUGGGACGUGGGCACCUCGACCACACGGCCCAGUGCUGUCCCCACUGAGCCACUGACACUCCGUCAGGUGGGCCUCAACCCGUGCGCACUCUCAGCUGGUCCUCAUGAGUGGCCACGGGCUCCCACGUGUCUGAAACGUGGGGAGGUAUGGUCAGGCUCACCGGAGGCCUCUGCCCUCAGUAGCCCGAUGACGCUGCCGUCCUCCCCGCUGGGCGUGGCUGGGUGGCCGCUCUGACACCCGACACAGACCUGGCUCCAGGGCACCUGGGACGCCAGGGCUGACAGGAGCAGGGACAGGUUGGUUUAGCACGGAGCUUCUUCAGAAACACAGGAGGCACUGCCUGUGGGCCCUCGGGAAGCGAGGGCUCAGACUUUGGGCGGCUGUGGGGGAGCCAGGGGCAGUGUGUGGUGCAGGACAGUGGCCUGGGCCUGGGAGAAGGGGUGCAGCUCCUAGCUGGUUCUGUGCUGUGUGCACGAGUGAACAGACCACACUGGCAUCCUCUUCCUACUGCCACGUCUGCUGGUUUCCUCUCCAGGAAGCGAAAAAUGAGUGGACGGGCCAGGGCCAGAGCCCGGGGCAGGGCCCGCGGGCAGGAGACGGCGCAGCACGUGGGGGCCGCCACCAGUCAGCCGCCUGGGUUCGUCCCGCCCAGACCUCAGCAGCCGCUGGCAGAGGGCGAGCUGGUGGGCCGAGGGCGACAGCGAGGAGCAGCAGGAGCAACAGCCAAGUCGCAAGGUGAAGGAGCGAGCGGCCUGCAUAGCCGUGGAGUGCGUGGUCGCUGCCGGGCCCUGACACACAGGGGCCCGCAGCAGGCAGGACCCGGCGUCUCCCCAGCCCGUGCCCCCAGACCUCCCCACAGGAGAGAGGGCACGCGCUGUGGACCGACUCCCUCGGCUGAGUCCUGAGUGCCUGACGGGCCGUACUCAGAAUGUUGUCUUGACAUCUGCAGCAGUUCUGGCCCAACUGGGGACAACGUCAGCGUCCCCCCUCCAUCCAGCAGGCUUCCUGUACGUCAGGGUGGCUAAGCGAGUCUCAGAGGCGGAGCCAGGGCCGCGUCCUGGCCGCUGGUCGAGUCAGCGGCGGUUCUGAUUUCCAGCACUCUGCUUUCUCACUGGCCUGUUGCAAAGCUGGGUAACUGGGGUCGUUGGGCUGAGGGUCUCCUGUACUUACGGAUGUGGUCCCAGCACGGGAGAAAACAGAGACAGGUGGGGAAACAGGUCAUGGAGUCAGCGUCCCCUGCCUGGGGAGUCGGGCACUGGCUCCCCACAUCCUGUCGAUGCCGUGGGCGUCACCGGGGGCAGCGUGGGAAGGCAGCCUGGCUGCAGGGAGUGCGUUCACUGCUCCGCGCGUCCUGGCCUGCUCACUUGUGCUCACAUGUGUGCAAGCUGGCGGGAACCGUGCGGAAGAUGCGAGAGGGCAGCAGAGGCCCGGGGACGCCAGCACAGCCUGACGUGGGCCGCAGCCCUGCGUCGUUUUACUUGGUAACGGGUACGUGUCUGCUCAGUACCACCUCCGUCUGCUGGCUCCUCCCCAGUGCCUGCUGAGACGUGGAGGGGGCUCAGCCCGGUCUUCCGUGGGGUGGGGAGUCAGACAUCGAGGGUCUGCACUAGCAGGAAGCUGGAGCCGGGAGCAGGCCAGGACAGCCAUCGCACUGCCUUAUCUGAUGGCUCUGUGUUCCUGGCACUUGGUGACAGCUGGCCUGUGUCACGGAGUCCUGUGUGAGCACUGGGCCGUGUAGAGUGAGUCUCACAGGCAAGACUGAGGGAAUAACCCAAAGCAGAAGCACCCAGCCAGUGCACUCAGGUAAAGCCGGCCACUCUGUCAGUGGCGUACUCCGCGGGCUAUGCCCAAUGAAAACGAGGUCCAAAAUAGCAUUAGCCUGUGCUUUAUUUAAAAAAAAAAUGUUUAAAGAUUGAUUUAAAAGAGUUGGAGAGAGAGAGAAGGAGGUAAAUCUUCCAUCCUCUGAUUCACUCCCCAGGUGGCCACAGCGGCCAGGGCUGGGCCAGGCUGCAGCCAGGAGCUUCCUGGGGUCCCCCAUGUGGAUGCAGGGGCCCUGGCACUUGGCCAUCUCCGCUGCUUUCCCAGGUGCAUUAGCAGGGAGCUGGGUCAGAAGUGGAGCAGCCGUGUGGGAUGCCAGCACUGCAGGCAAUGGCUUUGCCUGCCACACCACGCCGCUGGCUUCUAUCCGGGUUUUUAAUAAAUACAUGUUAUGUGUAUAUUUCCUAUAUUUACAGAAAAUGUUGAAAAGAGUUCAUGGGUCUUCACGUGAGGAGUUAAGCUGCCGGAUAAGAUCUGUUGUUUGGUGGAUCCGAUUCCUUAGCGGUAGAACGUUUUGUUUUCUAAGUGGAGGUGCCUGAUGGUUAAAACGUGCACUUCGCCCUCUAGUCCUGCCGCCGCGUCCCUCUGAAACUCCAGUGUGACUUGUUCACCUGCGUUCAGCGUACACAGCAAAGUGUCAUUGAAAGAAAGACUACAGAAACACAUGCUGGAGCUGUUGAAGUGGUAGACUUCUAAUACCACCUUAAAACAGAAGAACGCCCAUUUCUUACACGUCCCAGGUGUCAGUCCUCACUAACACUGAGUUUAGAAAAAUACCACUUACUCAAGAACUUAUUUUUUUUAAAGAUUUAUUUAUUUGAAAGAAUUACACAGAGAGAGGAGAGGCAGAGAGAGAGAGAGAGAGAGAGAGAGAGAGAGAGAGAG